rnacentral:rRNA from 1 species
UCUAAAGUAUAAGCAAAUUAUACAGCGAAACUGCGAAAUGCUCAUUAAAUCAGUUAUCGUUUAUUGAUAGUACCUUACUACUUGGAUAACCCGUGGUAAUUCUAGAGCUAAUACAUGCUAAAAACCCCGACUCACGAAGGGGUGUAUUUAUUAGAUUAAAAACCAAUGCCCUUUCGGGGCUCUUUGGUGAUUCAUAAUAACUUUUCGAAUCGCAUGGCCUUGCGCCGGCGAUGGUUCAUUCAAAUUUCUGCCCUAUCAACUUUCGAUGGCAGGGUCUUGGCCUGCCAUGGUUACAACGGGUAACGGAGGGUUAGGGCUCGACCCCGGAGAAGGAGCCUGAGAAACGGCUACUACAUCCAAGGAAGGCAGCAGGCGCGCAAAUUACCCAAUCCCGAUUCGGGGAGGUAGUGACAAUAAAUACUGAUACAGGGCUCUUUUGGGUCUUGUAAUUGGAAUGAGUACAAUUUAAAUCCCUUAACGAGGAACAAUUGGAGGGCAAGUCUGGUGCCAGCAGCCGCGGUAAUUCCAGCUCCAAUAGCGUAUAUUAAAGUUGUUGCAGUUAAAAAGCUCGUAGUUGAACCUUGGGCCUGGCUGGCCGGUCCGCCUCACCGCGUGCACUGGUUCGGCCGGGCCUUUCCCUCUGGGGAACCUCAUGGUCUUCACUGAUCGUGACGGGGAACCAGGACUUUUACUGUGAAAAAAUUAGAGUGUUCAAAGCAGGCCUAUGCUCGAAUACAUUAGCAUGGAAUAAUAAAAUAGGACGUGUGGUUCUAUUUUGUUGGUUUCUAGGACCGCCGUAAUGAUUAAUAGGGACAGUCGGGGGCAUCAGUAUUCAAUUGUCAGAGGUGAAAUUCUUGGAUUUAUUGAAGACUAACUACUGCGAAAGCAUUUGCCAAGGAUGUUUUCAUUAAUCAGGAACGAAAGUUAGGGGAUCGAAGACGAUCAGAUACCGUCGUAGUCUUAACCAUAAACUAUGCCGACUAGGGAUCGGACGGUGUUACUUAUUGACCCGUUCGGCACCUUACGAGAAAUCAAAGUCUUUGGGUC